UACACAUGCAGUCGAGCGAGAAAGUCCCUUCGGGGGCGAGUAGAGCGGCGGACGGGUGAGUAAGACGUGGAUAAUCUCCCCUCGAGCUUGGGAUAACCCCGCGAAAGUGGGGCUAAUACCGGAUAAGACCACGUAGCAUAUGCUACGGGGUAAAAGGUGGCUUGUAUUUAUAUGAGCUAUCACUUGAGGAUGAGUCCAUGGCCUAUCAGCUUGUUGGUGAGGUAAGAGCUUACCAAGGCUAUGGCGGGUAGCUGGUCUGAGAGGACGACCAGCCACACUGGGACUGAGACACGGCCCAGACUCCUACGGGAGGCAGCAGUGGGGAAUAUUGGGCAAUGGGCGCAAGCCUGACCCAGCGACGCCGCGUGGGUGAUGAAGGCCUUCGGGUUGUAAAGCCCUUUCGUGCGGAAAGAACAGUCCCGUGGUGAAUAUCCGCGGGAUUUGACGGUACCGCAGGAAGAAGCACCGGCUAACUCCGUGCCAGCAG
rnacentral:rRNA from 1 species